rnacentral:misc_RNA from 1 species
CAUGUAACCCCCAUAAUGCCCUCAGUGUCCCACAAAAGACCUAAUGACUGCCAUGCCCCUGGGCCUGAACAACAUAACCAAUCUGGCCCUUCUAACCAUAUCCUACCUAAUAGCUCUAUACAAUACCCUGGUAGCCCACCCCAUCUUUUAGCAGAAAAAGAAAAGGGAUGGAAAGUAUAUGUCAGGUCUAGGGGGUGCAACAAGAAGAGGGCCUGCAGUGUUAAAAAGCAUAUCACACAGGACGUUGAGAAUCCCUGCAACUUAUCGGGGGAAAUGCAGGCAGCAAAGGAUCUGGGACACCCACACAUGGUUAUAAACAACACUAAC